rnacentral:rRNA from 1 species
AACGAACGCUGGCGGCAGGCUUAACACAUGCAAGUCGAACGAGAUCUUCGGAUCUAGUGGCAGACGGGUGGGGAACACGUGGGAACAUCCCUUUCAGUUCGGAAUAACGUUGGGAAACUAACGCUAAUACCGGAUACGUCCUUCGGGAGAAAGAUUUAUCGCUGAAAGAUUGGCCCGCGUCUGAUUAGCUAGUUGGUGAGGUAACGGCUCACCAAGGCUACGAUCAGUAGCUGAUCUGAGAGGAUGAUCAGCCACAUUGGGACUGAGACACGGCCCAAACUCCUACGGGAGGCAGCAGUGGGGAAUAUUGGACAAUGGGCGCAAGCCUGAUCCAGCCAUGCCGCGUGAGUGAUGACGGCCUUCGGGUUGUAAAGCUCUUUGUCCGGGAAGAUAAUGACUGUACCGGAAGAAUAAGCCCCGGCAAACUUCGUGCCAGCAGCCGCCGUAA